GCUACCAUGCAGUCGACGAUGAACCUGGAGCUUGCUCUAGGGAAUUAGUGGCGAACGGGUGAGUAACACGUGAGUAACCUGCCCUUGACUCUGGGAUAACCUCCGGAAACGGAAGCUAAUACCGGAUACGACGUACGGAGGCAUCUCCUGUACGUGGAAAGAACUUCGGUCAAGGAUGGACUCGCGGCCUAUCAGGUAGUUGGUGAGGUAACGGCCCACCAAGCCUACGACGGGUAGCCGGCCUGAGAGGGUGACCGGCCACACUGGGACUGAGACACGGCCCAGACUCCUACGGGAGGCAGCAGUGGGGAAUAUUGCACAAUGGGCGCAAGCCUGAUGCAGCAACGCCGCGUGAGGGAUGACGGCCUUCGGGUUGUAAACCUCUUUUAGUAGGGAAGAAGCGAAAGUGACGGUACCUGCAGAAAAAGCACCGGCUAACUACGUGCCAGCAGCCGCGGUAAUACGUAGGGUGCGAGCGUUGUCCGGAAUUAUUGGGCGUAAAGAGCUCGUAGGCGGUCUGUCGCGUCUGCUGUGAAAACCCGAGGCUCAACCUCGGGCCUGCAGUGGGUACGGGCAGACUAGAGUGCGGUAGGGGAGAAUGGAAUUCCUGGUGUAGCGGUGGAAUGCGCAGAUAUCAGGAGGAACACCGAUGGCGAAGGCAGUUCUCUGGGCCGUAACUGACGCUGAGGAGCGAAAGCGUGGGGAGCGAACAGGAUUA
rnacentral:rRNA from 1 species